rnacentral:misc_RNA from 1 species
UAAUAAGUGUUUUAUGGCACUUUUAAAUCCAUAUCCACCUUGUGUGCAAUGUCAGUCGAUCUUCUUCAUGGAGAUCGACCAAACAUCAACCUUUAUCUUUUAACUCUUUGUCUGAAAAAUAUUAUGAAUAAACAAUUCAAAAUA